rnacentral:rRNA from 1 species
GAUGAACGCUGGCGGUAUGCUUAACACAUGCAAGUCGAACGAAGUCUUCGGACUUAGUGGCGGACGGGUGAGUAACGCGUGAGAAUCUGGCUUUAGGACGGGGAUAACCACUGGAAACGGUGGCUAAGACCCGAUAUGCCGAGAGGUGAAAGUAAUUUAGCCUAGAGGGGAGCUCGCGUCUGAUUAGCUAGUUGGUGGGGUAAGAGCCUACCAAGGCGACGAUCAGUAGCUGGUCUGAGAGGAUGAUCAGCCACACUGGGACUGAGACACGGCCCAGACUCCUACGGGAGGCAGCAGUGGGGAAUUUUCCGCAAUGGGCGAAAGCCUGACGGAGCAAUACCGCGUGGGGGAGAAGGCUC